rnacentral:rRNA from 1 species
UGACGAGUGGCGCACGGGUGCGUAACGCGUAUGCAACUUACCCCAAACUGGAGAAUAGCCUUUAGAAAUGAAGAAUAAUACUCCAUAGUAUUCCAGAGAGGCAUCUCUUUGGUCUUAAAGCUUCGGCGGUUUGGGAUAGGCAUGCGUUCUAUUAGUUAGUUGGUGAGGUAAUGGCUCACCAAGACCACGAUAGAUAGGGGGCCUGAGAGGGUUAUCCCCCACACUGGUACUGAGACACGGACCAGACUCC